rnacentral:lncRNA from 1 species
CCCUUACAUGAAAUGUGAUUGUGGAUCAAGUCAAAGUAGGAAUUAGUUUGGAUUUCAAAUUCUAUGAGAUAGAGUUUUAGGAAACCAAAACUCUUUCCUUAUGGCACUGAUUUACCUAGAUUUUUUUUGAAAUUUUUAUGACUUUUAUGGCACAUAAUAUGCACCCUUUGCUUAUGGUCCAUGGCAGAAAAAGAAAGAGGGGAUGCCCAAGAAUUGGAUGCCCCUUGUCUUGCCUUGUUUAGAUAAUCCUUGACUAGGUAUUUG